rnacentral:rRNA from 1 species
GAUGAACGCUAGCUACAGGCUUAACACAUGCAAGUCGAGGGGCAGCAUUUUUAGUUUUGCUUGCAAACUGAAGAUGGCGACCGGCGCACGGGUGAGUAACACGUAUCCAACCUGCCGAUAACUCCGGGAUAGCCUUUCGAAAGAAAGAUUAAUACCGGAUAGUAUACGAAUAUCGCAUGAUAUUUUUAUUAAAGAAUUUCGGUUAUCGAUGGGGAUGCGUUCCAUUAGUUUGUUGGCGGGGUAACGGCCCACCAAGACUACGAUGGAUAGGGGUUCUGAGAGGAAGGUCCCCCACAUUGGAACUGAGACACGGUCCAAACUCCUACGGGAGGCAGCAGUGAGGAAUAUUGGUCAAUGGGCGAGAGCCUGAACCAGCCAAGUAGCGUGAAGGAUGAAGGCUCUAUGGGUCGUAAACUUCUUUUAUAUGGGAAUAAAGUUUUCCACGUGUGGAAUUUUGUAUGUACCAUAUGAAUAAGGAUCGGCUAACUCCGUGCCAGCAGCCGCGGUAAUACGGAGGAUCCGAGCGUUAUCCGGAUUUAUUGGGUUUAAAGGGAGCGUAGGUGGAUUGUUAAGUCAGUUGUGAAAGUUUGCGGCUCAACCGUAAAAUUGCAGUUGAAACUGGCAGUCUUGAGUACAGUAGAGGUGGGCGGAAUUCGUGGUGUAGCGGUGAAAUGCUUAGAUAUCACGAAGAACUCCGAUUGCGAAGGCAGCUCAUUAGACUGUUACUGACACUGAUGCUCGAAAGUGUGGGUAUCAAACAGGAUUAGAUACCCUGGUAGUCCACACAGUAAACGAUGAAUACUCGCUGUUUGCGAUAUACAGUAAGCGGCCAAGCGAAAGCAUUAAGUAUUCCACCUGGGGAGUACGCCGGCAACGGUGAAACUCAAAGGAAUUGACGGGGGCCCGCACAAGCGGAGGAACAUGUGGUUUAAUUCGAUGAUACGCGAGGAACCUUACCCGGGCUUAAAUUGCAACAGAAUAUAUUGGAAACAGUAUAGCCGUAAGGCUGUUGUGAAGGUGCUGCAUGGUUGUCGUCAGCUCGUGCCGUGAGGUGUCGGCUUAAGUGCCAUAACGAGCGCAACCCUUAUCUUUAGUUACUAACAGGUCAUGCUGAGGACUCUAGAGAGACUGCCGUCGUAAGAUGUGAGGAAGGUGGGGAUGACGUCAAAUCAGCACGGCCCUUACGUCCGGGGCUACACACGUGUUACAAUGGGGGGUACAGAAGGCGGCUACCUGGUGACAGGAUGCUAAUCCCAAAAACCUCUCUCAGUUCGGAUCGAAGUCUGCAACCCGACUUCGUGAAGCUGGAUUCGCUAGUAAUCGCGCAUCAGCCAUGGCGCGGUGAAUACGUUCCCGGGCCU